UACAGAGGUCUCAAGCGUUGUUCGGAUUCAUUGGGCGUAAAGGGUGCGUAGGCGGCGGGGUAAGUCGGGUGUGAAAUCUUGGAGCUUAACUCCGAAACUGCAUUCGAUACUGCCGUGCUUGAGGACUGGAGAGGAGACUGGAAUUACGGUGUAGCUGGUGAAAUGCGUAGAUAUCGUAAGGAAGACCAGUGGACGGAAGGCGGGUCUCUGGACAGUUCCUGACGCUGAGGCACGAAGGCCAGGGGAGCAAACGGG
rnacentral:rRNA from 1 species